AGAACGAACGCUGGCGGCAUGCCUAAUACAUGCAAGUCGAACGAACUCUUCGGAGUUAGUGGCGCACGGGUGCGUAACGCGUGGGAAUCUGCCCUUGGGUUCGGAAUAACAGUUGGAAACGACUGCUAAUACCGGAUGAUGACGAAAGUCCAAAGAUUUAUCGCCCAGGGAUGAGCCCGCGUAGGAUUAGCUAGUUGGUGAGGUAAAGGCUCACCAAGGCGACGAUCCUUAGCUGGUCUGAGAGGAUGAUCAGCCACACUGGGACUGAGACACGGCCCAGACUCCUACGGGAGGCAGCAGUAGGGAAUA
rnacentral:rRNA from 1 species